rnacentral:tRNA from 1 species
GGAGCUAUAGCUCAGUGAUACAGCACUCGCUUAGCAAGUCAUGAGAACCUGGAUUCAAUUUCUAGUAGCCCA